UAUAUUUUAGUGUAUUAUGGCACAAGAAUUUUUGAAGUUCUUAGUAUUAGUUAGAUUCUAAUAAAUAUAA
rnacentral:tRNA from 1 species